UACGAAGGGUGCAAGCGUUGCUCGGAAUUAUUGGGCGUAAAGCGCACGUAGGCGGCUCUGCAAGUCGGAUGUGAAAUCCCUCGGCUCAACCAAGGAAGUGCAUCCGAAACUGCGGAGCUUGAGUACUUAAGAGGAUCGCGGAAUUCCCGGUGUAGAGGUGAAAUUCGUAGAUAUCGGGAGGAACACCAGUGGCGAAGGCGGCGAUCUGGGAAGAUACUGACGCUGAGGUGCGAAAGCGUGGGGAGCAAACAGG
rnacentral:rRNA from 1 species